rnacentral:rRNA from 1 species
UACGAAGGGUGCAAGCGUUACUCGGAAUUACUGGGCGUAAAGCGUGCGUAGGCGGUUCGUUAAGUCUGAUGUGAAAGCCCUGGGCUCAACCUGGGAAUGGCAUUGGAUACUGGCGACCUAGAGUGCGGUAGAGGGGUGUGGAAUUCCCGGUGUAGCAGUGAAAUGCGUAGAUAUCGGGAGGAACAUCUGUGGCGAAGGCGACGCCCUGGACCAGCACUGACACUGAGGCACGAAAGCGUGGGGAGCAAACAGG